GACAGAGGAUGCAAGCGUUAUCCGGAAUGAUUGGGCGUAAAGCGUCUGUAGGUGGCUUUUUAAGUCCGCCGUCAAAUCCCAGGGCUCAACCCUGGACAGGCGGUGGAAACUACCAAGCUGGAGUACGGUAGGGGCAGAGGGAAUUUCCGGUGGAGCGGUGAAAUGCGUAGAGAUCGGGAGGAACACCAGUGGCGAAGGCGGCUACCUGGACCAGCAUUGACACUCAAGCACGAAAGCGUGGGGAGCAAACAGG
rnacentral:rRNA from 1 species